rnacentral:rRNA from 1 species
CCUACGGGAGGCAGCAGUAGGGAAUCUUUCACAAUGGGCGAAAGCCUGAUGGAGCAACGCCGCGUGCAGGAUGAAGGCCUUCGGGUUGUAAACUGCUUUUAUAAGCGAGAAAUAUGAUGGUAACUUAUGAAUAAGGCUCGGCUAACUACGUGCCAGCAGCCGCGGUCAUACGUAGGAUCCGAGCAUUAUCCGGAGUGACUGGGUGUAAAGAGUUGCGUAGGUGGCAUAAUAAGUAGCUAGUGAAAUCUGGUGGCUCAACCAUUCAGACUAUUAGCUAAACUGUUAAGCUCGAGACCGUUAGGGGUAACUGGAAUUUCUAGUGUAGGAGUGAAAUCCGUAGAUAUUAGAAGGAACACCAAUAGCGUAGGCAGGUUGCUGGGACGGUUCUGACACUAAGGCACGAAAGCGUAGGGAGCAAACGGGAUUAGAUACCCCUGUAGUC